CCUACGGGAGGCAGCAGUGAGGAAUAUUGGUCAAUGGGCGCGAGCCUGAACCAGCCAAGUAGCGUGAAGGAUGACUGCCCUACGGGUUGUAAACUUCUUUUAUAAAGGAAUAAAGUGAGGCACGUGUGCCUUUUUGUCUGUACUUUAUGAAUACGGAUCGGCUAACUACGUGCCAGCAGCCGCGGUAUUACGGAGGAUCCGAGCGUUAUCCGGAUUUAUUGGGUUUAAAGGGAGCGUAGAUGGGUUGUUAAGUCAGUUGGGAAAGUUUGCGGCUCAACCGUAAAAAUGCAAUUGAUACUGGCAGGCUUGAGUACAGGUGGGGUAGGCGGAAUUCGUGGUGUAGCGGUGAAAGGCUUAGAUAUCACGAAGAACUCCGAUUGCGAAGGCAGCUUACUAAACUGCCACUGACAUUGAUGCUCGAAAGUGUGGGUAUCAAACAGGAUUAGAUACCCUAGUAGUC
rnacentral:rRNA from 1 species